rnacentral:rRNA from 2 species
CCUUUGCAAUGUGCGAAAGCACGACAAGGUUAAUCCGAGUGGUCUCUGCUAAAGAGACCUUUUGUCAGUCCUAAAAGCACUGGCGAAUAAGGGGUGGGCAAGUUCUGGUGUCAGCCGCCGCGGUAAAACCAGCACCUCAAGUGGUCAGGAGGAUUAUUGGGCCUAAAGCAUCCGUAGCCGGCCGUGUAAGUUUUCGGUUAAAUCCACGUGCUCAACGCGUGGGCCGCCGGGAAUACUGCACGGCUAGGGAGUGGGAGAGGUAGACGGUACUCCGUAGGAAGGGGUAAAAUCCUGUGAUCUAUGGAUGACCACCUGUGGCGAAGGCGGUCUACUAGAACAUGUCCGACGGUGAGGGAUGAAAGCUGGGGGAGCAAACCGGAUUAGAUACCCCCGUAGU